GGCUCUGCUUAAGACCGUCUGCUGGAAGGCACACCAUGCCCGCAGAUUUAUCCCAUUCAAUAUUUAAAAACUGGCUGGAACAAGGAGUUCAUGCACAGCAGAGACUACUGCUUCAACGCGGAGUUGCCCAGCCUGCCCAUUUGGCCCCACUUGUGUUUUAGGUGGAGCAAAUUUUGUUUCCCAUGGCAGCCCUGGCUUUGCAGUACCCUGGGGAGGCAGCUGACGGCAGGGUGCGAUGCUGGUGCUACAGCUGGAUCCUCACCACACCACCGAUAAAGUGGAUCAGUAUUUCCUAAUAGGAGAGCUGGCAGGGCAGGUGAAAGUACAGAAUAUACAGGUAGACUUCAAGAAAUCAGUCAACUCUUUCUUUUUGUUCUCUAAUUUGAUAGGAAAAGUGAAUAGCAAUUUGUUUUUUUCUUGUGGUUUUAAUUUUUUUUUUUAAUGCUUCAAACUGCAGGUCAAAGCCACUGCGCAAAGUCUACAGGAGCCCUUUAUUGACUCUCCUGAGUUCAUCCAGGCAGCUAAAGAAAAACUAUUUCCCCCUCCCUGCUGACCAUAAAAAGGGAUUAGCAGAAGGAGACUUUUCCUUAUCAGUCCUCCGGGGCCAGGAUUACAAGCAAGGAGAGUCUGCCUAUUUUAUUUGAAGACUAUAAGAAAUUAUUCAAGCUUCAAGCAACUCUGUGCGCAAUGCUUUCAGAAGAAAAAUCAGCAAAUUGAAAAUAUUAUUGUCUUCUAAAAGAAGGAUGUUACCAAAAAAUGUACAAGUAAAAAGGUAGAAGAGGAUGAAGAUACAGAGAAAAAACACUUUUUCUUGACAACAAAUCUAAUUUUGGUGUGGAGGAUGAAGAGUGUUUUUUCUUGUAUCUUACAAAAUGUGGGGUUUUGCAGUGGUACACUUUAACCCAUUAUGUCAAAACUGGAUAAAAAGCCAAAAAAUAUGGGACUCUUCAGGUUCAAUUUUUUGGAGCAUAUUGGAAGCCUUCCAUAUUUUAUGCUAAAGAGUUCAAACUGGAGACAAUUUGAGCUAUUUGUUUGUUAACCUAAUAACAUUUAAUUUUUAAGUAAAUUUGUGUACUUUCUCAAACUUUUUCAUGCUUGACUUUCCCCAUCCUCCAGUAAGCAACACGAUUCAGGCCAAGUGCAAAGAGCAAAUGGAAGUUCCCAGCAUCACCUCCAUGUCAGGUGCUGAGAGCUUCUUGUCUACGUGCUAGAAAAUGUCUCCUUCAAAUGGAACGGGAACGAUACAACUUGCUAAUAGAGAGUAUUGCUAAUAUAAUAUAUUGCUUUAUUAGUAUAUUUAUGGACUCCUUCUCAAAAAUAAUGUGUGGUUUGUUAUAAGCUAUUAUGAAAGAUAAUGCUUUGACCUGCUGACAACAUGAUGUAUUAAUCUUUAUCACUUUGGUAUGCUCUUAAGUGUCUCAUUCUUACUUUCUGUAGCAUGGGCUGUACAGAAUACAGAGUAGAAUGUAAUUGUACCAAAAUAGUUUCUUGUAUGAAACUUUCUGAACAUAAAAUCUUGAAACACAGUAUUAAAAUAAUUCUUGGAUAACAUUCAUACAUUUAAUCUUCGCGAUACUUGUUGCUUUGAAUAAUCUAACCAAAAUAAAUUAAAAUUGAAUUUGUUUGUUGUUGUUUUUG